AUGGAACUUUCAUCCGAGGCUUGGUCAGCACUCAAAAUAUAUCACCAGUACAUGUUUGAACCCACAAGCAGCAGACAUACCGCAUAUAUUUUAAGUUCAGCAGUCAGUCAUAACGUGCUUUCGGGCAUCAACUUCGACAACAAGUCCGGACAUAUGAAGAGCACGAGAAGUCUUUGUGAUUAUGGGAAUCAUGAUUGGCUUGCACUGAAUGAUGAUCGUCUAAUGCCAGGGAAUGCACGACUAAUAGUGGCAGCCUUUCUUCGGACAAGCUGCUAG
rnacentral:lncRNA from 1 species